GAUGAAGAACGUAGCGAAAUGCGAUAAGUAGUGUGAAUUGCAGAAUUCAGUGAAUCAUCGAAUCUUUGAACGCACAUUGCGCCUCCUGGUAUUCCGGGAGGCAUGCCUGUUCGAGCGUCAUCAAAAACCUCAACCCAUGAUUUAUUGUGAGUUGGUUCUGCAUUGGACUCCUUGUGGGUCCUUUGCGAAAUCCAAUGGCGAAGAGCCACGCAACCAAAGCGUAGUAUAACUAUUUCGUUAUGGAAGCGUGGGUGCCUCUGCCGUAACCCCCAAUUUCUUAGUUUUUGACCUCGGAUCAGGUAGGGAUACCCGCUGAACUUAAGCAUAUCAAAAGCGGAGGA
rnacentral:misc_RNA from 1 species